ACUAGCAGGUCACCUCUCCCCUUGAGUCCUUGGAUCUACGCCACAACAGCAGCAUUUUUAAGAACCUGAGAGACAUCAUUUUGGAGUGCACACACACACACCAAUUCAUGAGGUCUGGCGAGGCUCUUCCUUUAUGAUGCCUUUGUUUUUCUCCCUGCUGUAAUAUGUCUGAGGCAUCCUGUUACCCUGGUGCUCCUGGGUAGAGGAUCACUUCUAACUGAAUCACAUCACAGCAGGAUCUCUCUAUGAAGGUGUUUUUGUUCACAGAAUCACUAUUGUUCCUGCCUUGUCUCCGGCCAUCUCUGCACCAGCUGUAUGAAUAAUGAAUGAAAGCACCAGAUGAUGUAAAGGAGGACUAAUGAAGUUUGCAGUUUGAAUAGGACACACAACACACUCCAGUCAGAUGAAGGAGGCAGCACACUGAGUGUUUCCACUUUCCAUCUGCCACUGUGCUUGUGUAACCAUUCCAGAGGACAGCGUUGAGCCAGAUGGGGGACCCAGCACCAUGUAACAUGCAGCAUGCAGCACCAGCUGUGACUCAUGAUGAGCAGGACUCUCUCUUCCUCUUUCUCAGUCUCUCUGAGCCCUUCUGUCUGGGUCUAUGGGGAGAUGCUGGACCCCAGCUCCCCCUGGAAGCAAUAUGUCCCACUAAAUGUCUCCUCCAUCAGCCUACAGGCCCAUGUGCCAACAUCCCCAGGACCUGUCACUGCCCCACCUCCUCCAGGAACAAGGUGUGAGGUCACCCUGGCCUUUUGUGAUUAGCUCCCGGCUGCUUUUUUAUGAAGGAGGAACAAAGUAGCCUAGUUUUUUUCUGGUAAUUACCGUGCAAUCAGUUUAUAAUUCAUGUACCUUUUGAACUGAGAAGAGCAGGAGGUUGUCACAAGGUGUGGUAACUGUGCAAUAAUACAUGUGUACAUGGUUUUACAAGUGGGGGGGGGGGGCAUAAUAUUAAUAUUAUAUAUAUAUAUUUUUUUAUCCAGUCGGAUAAACACUCCAAACGGCCUACCCGACGCUCGGAGGCGUCCGCAUGGUCCUAAAGCACACCGUUGCCUUGUUUUGUAUCACAUUCCAAUGAUAAAACAUGGCGGACAAAAAUGUAAUUUCAGAAUGUUCCUUCCCCAGUGAAAGUUUCACCCCAGUGUAAAUGUGUAGCCUAAUUACAUUGUUGUGAAGGAGCAUCAAUCCACCCAUUGUUAAAACUCAUAAAUGUG